CCUUCCAAACCUAAACAGCUAUAUGGUUUACUUUUAUAUACUAGUAUUGUGACUAUGAUUUCUCAUUGGAACUUAUAUCACAUCUUUUUAUUUCUUUGUAUUAAUUGAUAUUACAUCCGAAAAUACCAUGAAAAUAUCAUUUCAUUGUAGGUUCGGGGUCUCUAUUUCAAUCGACUCCAUCUGCUUGUUAUAAACACCACAUUAACAAAACUGAUUGUAGUAAUCAUGAAACUAAUCUGCUUACUUCUUAAAAAAAUAUUAUUUGAUUUGAAACGAAAGUGGCUUGUAAAAACUGCUAUUUUUAUUUCAAUCCAGC
rnacentral:lncRNA from 1 species